rnacentral:rRNA from 1 species
ACAAGCGGUGGAGCACGUGGUUAAUUCGACGCAACGCGAAGAACCUUACCUGGGCUUGACAUCCCGAUCGCACCUUAUGGAAACAUAGGGGUCAGUUCGGCUGGAUCGGUGACAGGUGCUGCAUGGCUGUCGUCAGCUCGUGUCGUGAGAUGUUGGGUUAAGUCCCGCAACGAGCGCAACCCUUGUCCUUAGUUGCCAGCAUUCAGUUGGGCACUCUAAGGAGACUGCCGGUGUCAAACCGGAGGAAGGUGGGAUGACGUCAAAUCAUCAUGCCCCUUAUGUUCUGGGCUACACACGUGCUACAAUGGCCGGUACAGACGGACGCAAAGCCGCGAGGUGGAGCAAAUCCUAAAAAGCCGGUCUCAGUUCGGAUUGCAGGCUGCAAUUCGCCUGCAUGAAGUCGGAAUCGCUAGUAAUCGCAGGUCAGCAUACUGCGGUGAAUACGUUCCCGGGCCUU